CCCUUAGACGUUCUGGGCUGCACGCGUGCUACACUGAUUACUUCAACAAGUGUUUUAACUGGAGAGUUUGCGUAAUCCUGAAAUGUUAUCGUGAUGGGAGUAGAGUAUUGUAUUUGUUAAUCUUUAACGAGGAAUUCCUAGUAAGUGCAAGUCAGCAGCUUGCGUUGAUUACGUCCCUACCCUUUGUACACACCGCCCGUCGCUACUACCGAUUGAAUGGUUUAGUGAGAUCUUCGGAUUGGCGCCACUGCGGCUCAGCAAUGGGCUCGGUGGAUGCCGAAAAGUUGAUCAAACUUGAUCAUUUAGAGGAAGUAAAAGUCGUAACA
rnacentral:rRNA from 1 species